rnacentral:lncRNA from 1 species
GCGCCAUAUAAGAUUACAUUCCAUUUGAAAAAUAACAAGAUACGUAUAUGUCAUGUUGAUUAUAUAUUGUCUCAUACUUCCCCCAAUAAUCAAGUACAAUCCUAUAUUUACCUAAUAAGUUAUGUACCUAAUCUCACAUUUACCUAGUAAUUAGGUACAUAAUCUUAUAUUUACCUAGUAACCAAGUACAAUAGAAAAUUUUACCUAUAUAUAUACAUAUAUUAAUAUAAAGCACAUUAGCUCGUACACUACUAGAAUAUUUGGGUUUCAGCACCAUUUUCGUAUGUGCUCUUAGUUGCAAAAGGCACAAAUAAUUAGGGUUAAUGACCUAAAUGGUCCCCUAACUAUUACCUCAGUAUCAUUUUGGUCCACUAACUAAAAUUUUCAUUUCAAACGUCCUUAAACUUUUUAUUUUGUACAAAGAUGGUCCAUCUGUCAAAGUUUGUGUAUUAUUCCGUUAAAUCGAGAGACAAAACCUUAUUUUUAGGUAAGUAUCCUCUUCUAAAACGAUCAAGCCACUGUAGUAUUGCAUUCCCUCCCAUUUAUGUUAGAAGCUCCACCAAAACCCCCAAAUUAGAACCCUAGGUUUGCAAUGUCGGAGAUUUCAACAUUAGAGAUUUCAACGACAUCAAGUGGGACGAGUCGGUACUGCGCCUGUGGGACGAAGAUAAUUCGUCGGACUUCGUGAGAUUUGAACCCAGGAAGAAGGUUCGAUGCUUGUGAUAAAAAUUGGGUAAGUUAUUAUUUGGGUUGCAAAAGUUGUUCUUUUCUAUUUGUAAUUGCUUGAUGAGGUUUGAAAUUAGGUAAGAUUUGAUUUGCCAGAAUAGCAGAAGAGGUAUGCAUUAUUUCGAGUGGGUGGAUAAUGAAACUUGUCCAAGAGGAAAACAAGUGGUCCCUGGUUUGCUUUGAAGACUAGAGCAAUGGAGAAGGAAGGUAGAGCAAAGGAAGAACAAUUGAGAGAUGUGGAAGCAAAAAAGAAAGAACUGCAGCAAAAAUUGAAAGAAAUGGUUCAGGAAAAAAAGGUUUUGGAAUGGGGUCAUGGGCAAAGACAAUUGAUAAGGUGGGUUUCCUUGAUUUUGUCUUGGGGUUUGUUUAUAACAUUUGUGAUGAGUGGGAAGUUGUAAUUGUUAUGGGGUUUGUUCCUUUGAAUGUAAUGGUUUUGAAAUGUGCAUUAGUGUCUCUUGAAUGUGCAUUUGUGUUAUGAAAU